rnacentral:tRNA from 1 species
AAAUUAUUCGCUUGGAGCAGGGGUUGUCUUGAAAACAAGCCCAAAGCGUUCGAUUCGCUUAAUAAUUUA